rfam:Pteropus alecto contig168773, whole genome shotgun sequence.
GGUUCCACAGUGUAGCAAUUAGCACGUUUGCUUUACACGCAGAAGGUCCUGGGUUCGUGCCCCAGUGCAGCCA